AAGAAGAAAGCAACAAGCAAUACGGUUUCGGCCCGUAAAAGGAAUUUACAAUUAAUUCUCUCCUUU
rnacentral:tRNA from 1 species